rnacentral:rRNA from 1 species
CAGGGAAUUUUGCGCAAUGGGCGAAAGCCUGACGCAGCAACGCCGCGUGGGGGAUGAAGGCUCUUGGGUCGUAAACCCCUUUUGCCGGGGAAGAUCGUGACGGUACCCGGCGAAUAAGCCACGGCUAACUACGUGCCAGCAGCCGCGGUAAUACGUAGGUGGCAAGCGUUGUCCGGAUUUAUUGGGCGUAAAGGGCUCGUAGGCGGCCAACUAAGUCAGACGUGAAAUCCCUCGGCUUAACCGGGGAACUGCGUCUGAUACUGGAUGGCUUGAGGUUGGGAGAGGGAUGCGGAAUUCCAGGUGUAGCGGUGAAAUGCGUAGAUAUCUGGAGGAACACCGGUGGCGAAGGCGACAUCCUGGACCAAUUCUGACGCUGAGGAGCGAAAGCCAGGGGAGCAAACGGGAUUAGAUACCCAUGUAGUCCCUGAGCGGGCUGGCAAGGCGCAU